rnacentral:rRNA from 1 species
UGGGGAAUAUUGCACAAUGGGCGCAAGCCUGAUGCAGACAUGCCGCGUGUAUGAAGAAGGCCUUCGGGUUGUAAAGUACUUUCAGCGGGGAGGAAGGGAGUAAAGUUAAUACCUUUGCUCAUUGACGUUACCCGCAGAAGAAGCACCGGCUAACUCCGUGCCAGCAGCCGCGGUAAUACGGAGGGUGCAAGCGUUAAUCGGAAUUACUGGGCGUAAAGCGCACGCAGGCGGUUUGUUAAGUCAGCUGUGAAAUCCCCGGGCUCAACCUGGGAGCUGCAUCUGAUACUGGCAAGCUUGAGUCUCGUAGAGGGAGGUAGAAUUCCAGAUGUAGCGGUGAAAUGCGUAGAGAUCUGGGGGAAUACCGGUGGCGAGGGCGGCCCCCUGGACGAAGACUGACGCUCAGGUGCGAAAGCGUGGGGAGCAAACAGG